GACGAACGCUGGCGGCGUGCUUAACACAUGCAAGUCGAACGGAAAGGCCCUGCUUUUGUGGGGUGCUCGAGUGGCGAACGGGUGAGUAACACGUGAGUAACCUGCCCUUGACUUUGGGAUAACUUCAGGAAACUGGGGCUAAUACCGGAUAGGAGCUCCUGCUGCAUGGUGGGGGUUGGAAAGUUUCGGCGGUUGGCGAUGGACUCGCGGCUUAUCAGCUUGUUGGUGGGGUAGUGGCUUACCAAGGCUUUGACGGGUAGCCGGCCUGAGAGGGUGACCGGCCACAUUGGGACUGAGAUACGGCCCAGACACCUACGGGAGGCAGCAGUGGGGAAUAUUGCACAAUGGGCGGAAGCCUGAUGCAGCAACGCCGCGUGCGGGAUGACGGCCUUCGGGUUGUAAACCGCUUUCGCCUGUGACGAAGCGUGAGUGACGGUAAUGGGUAAAGAAGCACCGGCUAACUACGUG
rnacentral:rRNA from 1 species